CCUACGGGGGGCAGCAGUGGGGAAUUUUGGACAAUGGGCGAAAGCCUGAUCCAGCAAUGCCGCGUGUGUGAAGAAGGCCUUCGGGUUGUAAAGCACUUUUGUCCGGAAAGAAAUGGCUCUGGUUAAUACCUGGGGUCGAUGACGGUACCGGAAGAAUAAGGACCGGCUAACUACGUGCCAGCAGCCGCGGUAAUACGUAGGGUUCAAGCGUUAAUCGGAAUUACUGGGCGUAAAGCGUGCGCAGGCGGUUGUGCAAGACCGAUGUGAAAUACGCGAGCUUAACUUGGGAAUUGCAUUAGGGACUGCACGGCUAGAGUGUGUCAGAGGCGGGUAGAAAUCAACGUGUAGCAGUGAAAUUCGUAGAGAUGGGGAAGAAUACCGAUGGCGAAGGCAGCCACCUGGGAUAACACUGACGCUCAUGCACGAAAGCGUGGGGAGCAAACAGGAUUAGAUACCCGGGUAGUC
rnacentral:rRNA from 1 species